GACGAACGCUGGCGGCGUGCUUAACACAUGCCAGUCGAACGGAAAGGCCCUUCUUUUGUGGGGUGCUCGAGUGGCGAACGUGUGAGUAACACGUGAGUAACCUGCCCUUUACUUUGGGAUAACUUCAGUAAACUUGGUCUAAUACCGGAUAGGAUCUCCUGCUGCAUGUUGGGGGUUGGAAAGUUUCGGAGGUUGGGGAUGGACUCGCGGGUUUUCAGCUUGUUGGUGGGGUAGUGGCUUACCAAGGCUUUGACGGGUAGCCGGGAUGAGAGGGUGACCGGCAAAAAUGGGAAUGAGAAACGGACAAGAAGGCUACGGGAGGCAGCAGUGGGGAAGAUUGCACAAUGGGCGGAAGCAUGAUGCAGCAACGCGGCGUGCGGGAUGACGGCCGUCGGGUUGUAAAACGCUUUCGCAUGUGAAGAAGAGUGAGUGACGGUAAUGGGUAAAGAAGCACCGGCUAACUACGUG
rnacentral:rRNA from 1 species